rnacentral:rRNA from 1 species
GAUGAACGCUGGCGGCGUGCUUAACACAUGCAAGUCGAAUGGAAAGGCCCAAGCUUGCUUGGGUACUCGAGUGGCGAACGGGUGAGUAACACGUGGGUGAUCUGCCCUGCACUUCGGGAUAAGCCUGGGAAACUGGGUCUAAUACCGGAUAGGACGAUGGUUUGGAUGCCAUUGUGGAAAGUUUUUUCGGUGUGGGAUGAGCUCGCGGCCUAUCAGCUUGUUGGUGGGGUAAUGGCCUACCAAGGCGUCGACGGGUAGCCGGCCUGAGAGGGUGUACGGCCACAUUGGGACUGAGAUACGGCCCAGACUCCUACGGGAGGCAGCAAUGGGGAAUAUUGCACAAUGGGCGCAGGCCUGAUGCAGCGACGCCGCGUGGGGGAUGACGGCCUUCGGGUUGUAAACUCCUUUCGCUAGGGACGAAGCGUUUUUGUGACGGUACCUGGAGAAGAAGCACCGGCUAACUACGUG